UGGGGAAUAUCGCACAAUGGGCGAAAGCCUGAUGCAGCGACGCCGCGUGAGCGAAGAAGUAUUUCGGUAUGUAAAGCUCUAUCAGCAGGGAAGAAGAAUGACGGUACCUGACUAAGAAGCCCCGGCUAACUACGUGCCAGCAGCCGCGGUAAUACGUAGGGGGGCAAGCGUUAUCCGGAUUUACUGGGUGUAAAGGGAGCGUAGACGGCAUGGCAAGUCUGAAGUGAAAUGCGGGGGGCUCAACCCCUGAACUGCUUUGGAAACUGUCAGGCUGGAGUGCAGGAGAGGUAAGUGGAAUUCCUAGUGUAGCGGUGAAAUGCGUAGAUAUUAGGAGGAACACCAGUGGCGAAGGCGGCUUACUGGACUGUAACUGACGUUG
rnacentral:rRNA from 1 species